ensembl:snRNA U2 U2 spliceosomal RNA
AUCACUUAUCGGCCUUUUGGCUAAGAUCAAGUGUAGUAUCUGUUCUUAUCAGUUCAAUAUCUGAUAUGUCCUCUAUCCAAGAACAAUAUAUUAAAUGGAUUUUUUGGAGCUUGGAGUUGGAAUAGGAGCUUGCUCUGUCCACUCCAUGCAUCGACCUGGUAUUGUAGUACUUCCAGGAACGGUGCACCCCUU